rnacentral:rRNA from 1 species
UACGUAGGGUGCGAGCGUUAAUCGGAAUUACUGGGCGUAAAGCGUGCGCAGGCGGUUUUGUAAGCCAGAUGUGAAAUCCCCGGGCUCAACCUGGGAAUGGCAUUUGGGACUGCAAGGCUGGAGUGUGGCAGAGGGGACUAGAAUUCCUGGUGUAGCAGUGAAAUGCGUAGAUAUCAGGAGGAAUACCGAUGGCGAAGGCAGGUCCCUGGGUUAACACUGACGCUCAUGCACGAAAGCGUGGGGAGCAAACAGGAUUAGAAACCCUAGUAGUCC